GCUCCCAUGGCAUAGUGGUCACUGCACUCACCUUGCACGUGGGAGACCUGGGUUCAAUUCCCAGUGGGGUCA
rfam:Asian citrus Psyllid, Diaphorina citri - Florida Strain, whole genome shotgun sequence.